UGGGGAAUAUUGCACAAUGGGCGAAAGCCUGAUGCAGCAACGCCGCGUGAGUGAUGAAGGCCUUCGGGUUGUAAAGCUCUGUCUUUUGGGACGAUAAUGACGGUACCAAAGGAGGAAGCCGCGGCUAACUACGUGCCAGCAGCCGCGGUAAUACGUAGGUGGCAAGCGUUGUCCGGAUUUACUGGGCGUAAAGGAUGCGUAGGCGGAUUUUUAAGUGAGAUGUGAAAACCCUAAGCUUAACUUGGGGACUGCAUUUCAUACUGGAAAUCUAGAGUGCGGGAGAGGAGAAUGGAAUUCCUAGUGUAGCGGCGAAAUGCGUAGAGAUUAGGAAGAACACCAGUGGCGAAGGCGAUUCUCUGGACCGUAACUGACGCUGAGGCAUGAAAGCGUGGGUAGCAAACAGGAUUAGAUACCCUGGUAGUCCACGCCGUAAACGAUGAGUACUAGGUGUAGGAGGUAUCGACCCCUUCUGUGCCGCAGUUAACACAAUAAGUACUCCGCCUGGGAAGUACGAUCGCAAGAUUAAAACUUAAAGGAAUUGACGGGGGUCAUAGCUGUUUCCU
rnacentral:rRNA from 1 species